UUAAGCGAAUAAGCGUACACGGUGGAUGCCUAGGCAAUCAGAGGCGAUGAAGGACGUGCUAAUCUGCGAUAAGCGUCGGUAAGGUGAUAUGAACCGUUAUACCCGACGAUUUCCGAAUGGGGAAACCCAAUAUCCAAUGGAUAUUAUCAUUAACUGAAUACAUAGGUUAAUGAAGCGAACCGGGAGAACUGAAACAUCUCAGUACCCCGAGGAAAAGAAAUCAACCGAGAUUCCCCUAGUAGCGGCGAGCGAACGGGGAACAGCCCAGAGUCUUAAUCAACAGCAGCAUCAGGAGAACGGUCUGGAAAGUCCGGCAGUAAAGGGUGAUAGCCCCGUAUCCGAAGAUGCUGUUAUUGUGAACUCGACGAGUAGGGCGGGACACGUGUUAUCCUGUCUGAAUAUGGGGGGACCAUCCUCCAAGGCUAAAUACUCCUGAUUGACCGAUAGUGAACCAGUACCGUGAGGGAAAGGCGAAAAGAACCCCGGCGAGGGGAGUGAAAAAGAACCUGAAACCGUGUACGUACAAGCAGUAGGAGCCCCACCACUAAGCUAGUGGUGAACUCACAGCGAUUCUUUUGCAUGAUAAAGAGCGGUAGACGACGCGAAGUGACGUCCAACCAAUCCAAUCAGGCAGAGGAGGCUUAGUGGUGGGGUGACUGCGUACCUUUUGUAUAAUGGGUCAGCGACUUAUAUUCUGUAGCAAGGUUAACCGAAUAGGGGAGCCGUAGGGAAACCGAGUCUUAACUGGGCGAAUGAGUUGCAGGGUAUAGACCCGAAACCCGGUGAUCUAUCCAUGGGCAGGUUGAAGGUUGGGUAACACUAACUGGAGGACCGAACCGACUAAUGUUGAAAAAUUAGCGGAUGACUUGUGGAUGGGGGUGAAAGGCCAAUCAAACCGGGAGAUAGCUGGUUCUCCCCGAAAGCUAUUUAGGUAGCGCCUCGUGAACUCAUCUUCGGGGGUAGAGCACUGUUUCGACUAGGGGGUCAUCCCGACUUACCAACUCGAUGCAAACUGCGAAUACCGAAGAAUGUUAUCACGGGAGACACACGGCGGGUGCUAACGUCCGUCGUGAAGAGGGAAACAACCCAGACCGCCAGCUAAGGUCCCAAAGUCAUGGUUAAGUGGGAAACGAAGUGGGAAGGCUCAGACAGCCAGGAUGUUGGCUUAGAAGCAGCCAUCAUUUAAAGAAAGCGUAAUAGCUCACUGGUCGAGUCGGCCCGCGCGGAAGAUGUAACGGGGCUAAACCAUGCACCGAAGCUGCGGCAGCAACACUAAGUGUUGUUGGGUAGGGGAGCGUUCUGUAAGCCUGCGAAGGUGUGCUGUGAGGCAUGCUGGAGGUAUCAGAAGUGCGAAUGCUGACAUAAGUAACGAUAAUGCGGGUGAAAAACCCGCACGCCGGAAGACCAAGGGUUCCUGUCCAACGUUAAUCGGGGCAGGGUGAGUCGACCCCUAAGGCGAGGCUGAAAAGCGUAGUCGAUGGGAAACGGGUUAAUAUUCCCGUACUGGUGGUAACUGCGAUGGGGGAACGGAGAAGGCUAGGUUGUCCGGGCGACGGUCGUCCCGGUUCAAGCAUGUAGGCAGAGUGAUUAGGCAAAUCCGGUCACUUAAUGCUGAGGUGUGAUGACGAGCCACUAAGGUGGUGAAGCAAUUGAUGCCCUGCUUCCAGGAAAAGCCUCUAAGCUUCAGGUUACCAACAAUCGUACCCCAAACCGACACAGGUGGUCAGGUAGAGAAUACUCAGGCGCUUGAGAGAACUCGGGUGAAGGAACUAGGCAAAAUGGUGCCGUAACUUCGGGAGAAGGCACGCUGGCGGUAAGUGAAGUCCCUUGCGGACGGAGCUGAAGCCAGUCGAAGAUACCAGCUGGCUGCAACUGUUUAUUAAAAACACAGCACUGUGCAAACACGAAAGUGGACGUAUACGGUGUGACGCCUGCCCGGUGCUGGAAGGUUAAUUGAUGGGGUUAUCCUUAGGGAGAAGCUCUUGAUCGAAGCCCCAGUAAACGGCGGCCGUAACUAUAACGGUCCUAAGGUAGCGAAAUUCCUUGUCGGGUAAGUUCCGACCUGCACGAAUGGCGUAAUGAUGGCCAGGCUGUCUCCACCCGAGACUCAGUGAAAUUGAACUCGCUGUGAAGAUGCAGUGUACCCGCGGCAAGACGGAAAGACCCCGUGAACCUUUACUAUAGCUUGACACUGAACAUUGAGCCUUGAUGUGUAGGAUAGGUGGGAGACUAUGAAGUGUGGACGCCAGUCUGCAUGGAGUCAACCUUGAAAUACCACCCUUUAACGUUUGAUGUUCUAACCUAGGCCCGUGAUCCGGGUCGGGGACCGUGUCUGGUGGGUAGUUUGACUGGGGCGGUCUCCUCCUAAAGAGUAACGGAGGAGCACGAAGGUUGGCUAAGCAUGGUCGGACAUCAUGCGGUUAGUGCAAAGGCAUAAGCCAGCUUGACUGUGAGAGUGACGGCUCGAGCAGGUACGAAAGUAGGUCUUAGUGAUCCGGUGGUUCUGAAUGGAAGGGCCAUCGCUCAACGGAUAAAAGGUACUCCGGGGAUAACAGGCUGAUACCGCCCAAGAGUUCAUAUCGACGGCGGUGUUUGGCACCUCGAUGUCGGCUCAUCACAUCCUGGGGCUGAAGUAGGUCCCAAGGGUAUGGCUGUUCGCCAUUUAAAGUGGUACGCGAGCUGGGUUUAGAACGUCGUGAGACAGUUCGGUCCCUAUCUGCCGUGGGCGUUGGAAGAUUGAGAGGGGUUGCUCCUAGUACGAGAGGACCGGAGUGAACGCACCACUGGUGUUCGGGUUGUCAUGCCAAUGGCAUUGCCCGGUAGCUAAGUGCGGAAGAGAUAACCGCUGAAAGCAUCUAAGCGGGAAACUUGCCUCGAGAUGAGUCUUCCCUGUCACCUUGAGUGACCUAAAGGAACGUUUAAGACUAAGACGUUGAUAGGCUGGGUGUGUAAGCGUAGCGAUACGUUGAGCUAACCAGUACUAAUGAACCGUGAGGCUUAACCUG
rnacentral:rRNA from 1 species